UACGUAGGUGGCAAGCGUUGUCCGGAAUUACUGGGUGUAAAGGGCGUGUAGGCGGGGAGACAAGUCAGAUGUGAAAUACCGUGGCUUAACUGCGGGGGUGCAUCUGAAACUGUUUCUCUUGAGUGUCGGAGAGGAAAGUGGAAUUCCCAGUGUAGCGGUGAAAUGCGUAGAGAUUGGGAGGAACACCAGUGGCGAAGGCGGCUUUCUGGACGAUAACUGACGCUGAGGCGCGAAAGCGUGGGUAGCAAACAGGAUUAGAUACCCGGGUAGUCCCU
rnacentral:rRNA from 1 species